rnacentral:rRNA from 1 species
GGGCCCGCACAAGCGGUGGAGUAUGUGGUUUAAUUCGAUGCAACGCGAAGAACCUUACCAGGGUUUGACAUCCUGCGAAUCUCUUGGAAACAGGAGAGUGCCUUCGGGAACGCAGUGACAGGUGGUGCAUGGCUGUCGUCAGCUCGUGUCGUGAGAUGUUGGGUUAAGUCCCGCAACGAGCGCAACCCACGUCUUUAGUUGCCAGCAUUCAGUUGGGCACUCUAGAGAGACUGCCGGUGAUAAACCGGAGAAGGUGUGGAUGACGUCAAGUCAUCAUGCCCCUUACAUCUGGGCUACACACGUACUACAAUGGUAGGUACAGAGAGCAGCCAAUGCGCGAGCAUGAGCAAAUCUAUAAACCUAUCUC